AACAUGAAGGGAUAUUUAGAUCUCUUUCAACUUUGAAAUUCAGAAAGAGGAAAAUAUUUGCAUUUAAAGAUUGUUCAACCCUACGACCCAGCAAUUGCACUGCUGGGUAUUUACCUCAAAGAUACAGAUGUAGUGAAAUGCCAGGACACCUGCACCCCAAUGUGCAUAGCAGCAAUGUAGCCAAACUGUGGCCAAACUGUGGAAGGAGCCUCGAUGUCCUUCAACAGAUGAAUGGAUAAAGAAGAUGUGGUUUAUGUAUACAAUGGGAUAUUCCUCAGCCAUCAGAAAGGAUGAAUACCCACCAUUUGCUUUGACGUGGAUGGAACUGGAGGGUAUUAUGCUGAGUGAAAGCCAGGCCAUAUGCCACCAUGAGACACAAGACUCCAUCAGCCACCUGUGAAGGAGUUUCUGCCUAGAAGGAGGGACAGGAGGAGGAUGCACCCCAAGCCGGACCUCACGGCAUCUACCCCAGGAGCUCUCCAGGUGUGGCCAGGGAUUGAAACCAACUUCCUGGCCAACUCUUCUAAGAUGUGUGUGCAGAGCUGAGCAGCCACAGCCCUGCUGUGGGGAGAAGCUGACCCUCAAGGCGAGGACAGAGAGCGGACACCUGCAGGGGUCCCACCCAGUGUCGCACCUUCACCCCUACACCUCUGACAUCAUCCCCACCUCUGUCUCCCUGAACUUGGAUUCCUUGGCUAACCCAUCCCACUUUUGUUCUAAGUUCAUUGGAGGUGGUUUGUGACAUUUGCAGCAUAGAGGGUCCUGAUUAUUAUAGUCUCUACAGAAUAAGAUCCUAACUCUGUGGCAGCUCCUGGUGAAUAGCUGCUGGCCAGGCUCCUCCCUCUCCCUCUCACUGCUGCCUCUCCCUAGGGCAGGAAUGCUCCAGGCCCCAGGGAGGGCAGGAGGUGGGAGGCAGGGGUCUUCUUUCACCACUGAGUCUCCAAACAGGCCUCCCAGCAGAACUGCCACCCUCAGCUGUGCACCCACCAGGACUUUCCUACUUGUGACUUGGCUCAAGUUCCCCACACAGAGGCUGAACCUCCCUCCUCUGAGCUUCCCUGGUCACAUGGGUGUGCAUGCAUCUCUCAACCCCGGGCUGCUCAAGGCCAAGUCCUGUGUAGUCCCCAGCUCUGCAUUCUCAAACCCGCUGGGCUGCCCAGUGCUUGUGGUUCAGGUAAUCAGCUAGAGGAGUCUGCGUGGCUCCCAGCUUGUCCUCAGUGGUUCAGCCCUCAGCUCUCUGGAAUCCAGUAGUGCUCGCAGAGGUGCAGCCUACAGACGGGACCUAAAACUUCUCAUACACCGCAACGGGGACAUUGCAACCGACUGGGUGACGAGAGCCCUUGAUUCAAAGACUGCGUAACGCUCAGCGUUGCGCGGGAAAAGUGGACCUGCCCGGAGAGAUACGGAUCACACGUGAAAGAAAAGUUCUUUUGUUGAAGUUUUCCCAAACGGACAAGAAUCCUAAAAAUCCACAUGACUAACGUUAACUGGUUGUGAAGCCGAAGCUCCCCUGAACUUCAGUAAUAAAACCAGUAUUUGGUCAAUCAUGCCAGAGAAAAGAAUGACUUUCCUAUUGUCCCCAUAGAAGAUUACACUGCAGAGUCAUUUUAGGUGAAGAGGCAGAGACAGCCAGGAAACAGAGGGAGCCAAGGACUUAGGGAUGCCUCACGUGAGCAGUUCGUGGAAUUACUGCGUUCUUCUGGAUUUUGUGAUAUUCGUGGUACUGCCCAGCUUCUUAAAAUUUGCAAUGUGUUCUAAAUAAAUACUCACUUUAAUUUUG